rnacentral:rRNA from 1 species
GACGAACGCUGGCGGCGUGCCUAAUACAUGCAAGUAGAACGCUGAAGAGAGGAGCUUGCUCUUCUUGGAUGAGUUGCGAACGGGUGAGUAACGCGUAGGUAACCUGCCUUGUAGCGGGGGAUAACUAUUGGAAACGAUAGCUAAUACCGCAUAACAAUGGAUGACACAUGUCAUUUAUUUGGAAGGGGCAAUUGCUCCACUACAAGAUGGACCUGCGUUGUAUUAGCUAGUAGGUGAGGUAACGGCUCACCUAGGCGACGAUACAUAGCCGACCUGAGAGGGUGAUCGGCCACACCGGGACUGAGACACGGCCCAGACUCCUACGGGAGGCAGCAGUAGGGAAUCUUCGGCAAUGGGGGCAACCCUGACCGAGCAACGCCGCGUGAGUGAAGAAGGUUUUCGGAUCGUAAAGCUCUGUUGUAAGUCAAGAACGAGUGUGAGAGUGGAAAGUUCACACUGUGACGGUAGCUUACCAGAAAGGGACGGCUAACUACGUGCCAGCAGCCGCGGUAAUACGUAGGUCCCGAGCGUUGUCCGGAUUUAUUGGGCGUAAAGCGAGCGCAGGCGGUUUGAUAAGUCUGAAGUUAAAGGCUGUGGCUCAACCAUAGUUCGCUUUGGAAACUGUCAAACUUGAGUGCAGAAGGGGAGAGUGGAAUUCCAUGUGUAGCGGUGAAAUGCGUAGAUACAUGGAGGAACACCGGUGGCGAAAGCGGCUCUCUGGUCCGUAACUGACGCUGAGGCUCGAAAGCGUGGGGAGCGAACAGGAUUAGAUACCCUGGUAGUCCACGCCGUAAACGAUGAGUGCUAGGUGUUGGAUCCUUUCCGGGAUUCAGUGCCGCAGCUAACGCAUUAAGCACUCCGCCUGGGGAGUACGACCGCAAGGUUGAAACUCAAAGGAAUUGAUGGGGGCCCGCACAAGCGGUGGAGCAUGUGGUUUAAUUCGAAGCAACGCGAAGAACCUUACCAGGUCUUGACAUCCCGAUGCUAUUUCUAGAGAUAGAAAGUUACUUCGGUACAUCGGUGACAGGUGGUGCAUGGUUGUCGUCAGCUCGUGUCGUGAGAUGUUGGGUUAAGUCCCGCAACGAGCGCAACCCCUAUUGUUAGUUGCCAUCAUUCAGUUGGGCACUCUAGCGAGACUGCCGGUAAUAAACCGGAGGAAGGUGGGGAUGACGUCAAAUCAUCAUGCCCCUUAUGAUUUGGGCUACACGCGUGCUACAAUGGACAAUACAAAGGGUAGCGAAACCGCGAGGUCAAGCAAAUCCCAUAAAGUUGUUCUCAGUUCGGAUUGUAGUCUGCAACUCGACUAUAUGAAGCUGGAAUCGCUAGUAAUCGUAGAUCAGCAUGCUACGGUGAAUACGUUCCCGGGUCU